rnacentral:misc_RNA from 1 species
UCUCCGUUGGUGAACCAGCGGAGGGAUCAUUACUGAGUUUACAACUCCCAAACCCUUUGUGAACCACCUCGUUGCUUCGGGGGCGACCCUGCCGUUCGCGGCGUGGGGCCCCCGGAGCCCUUCAAACCCUGCGUAACUGAGUCGUCGGAGUUUAAACAAAUUAAACAAAACUUUCAACAACGGAUCUCUUGGUUCGGGCAUCGAUGAAGAACGCAGC